rnacentral:tRNA from 1 species
GAAAUAAUAUAAAUUGAAGCUGCUAACUUUAAUUUGGGAUAAUUAUUCCUUAUUUCU